ACUUGCUGCGUUCCACAUCUGUAUUUUAUAUUUUAUGUGAAAAUAUUGAGUGAAUAUGCUAAUUGUUAUUUUUUCCAAUCAGAGAUCAUGUAGUUUCUUGUAACUGAUAUCGAACAGACAGCGUGAAGAGGACAUUUUGACUGUUAUGUAUAAAGUAUUUAACCACAAUGGUCAUCUAUUGUAAUUUAAUAUGAAAAGGAUCAAGAAUGCCCUGUUCCUAGCAUGUUAAACGUUCAUGAUUCUCAGAGGAGUGCAGAGGAUUUAGAAAGAAAUUCCACAUGUGUGUGGCCUGUCAUUUCCACCCAGCACUGCCUGUUUCUCUGCUGCACCAAGUCUUGUUGACACACAGGCUUGACCAUAGCUCGCACACUCCAUUCCCAGCGCAGUUGAGCUCAACUACCCACGGUGUGGGGAACAGGAUGGAGCAGUUGGCUGCAGCCUGUCUCAGGCAGAUAACUGGGAAAAUAGGAGAUUCAUCUCAUCUUCUUUUUCCCCUACACUAAAAAUGCUGAAUGUUACAUGAAGGCUCUGACUUAUCCAGAAGACUGGAACAAAAGAAAACUUUUUUCUGUAAUUAGUUGAUGUUGGAUGAAAAUAAAUAAAUAAAGCUA